GCAGUCGACGCUGAAGCACCUUCGGGUGUGGAUGAGUGGCGAACGGGUGAGUAACACGUGGGUAAUCUGUCCUGUACUCUGGGAUAAGCCCUGGAAACGGGGUCUAAUACCGGAUAUGACUUCGCACCGCAUGGUGUGGGGUGGAAAGUUCUGGCGGUACAGGGUGAGCCCGCGGCCUAUCAGCUUGUUGGUGGGGUGAUGGCCUACCAAGGCGACGACGGGUAGCCGGCCUGAGAGGGUGACCGGCCACACUGGGACUGAGACACGGCCCAGACUCCUACGGGAGGCAGCAGUGGGGAAUAUUGCACAAUGGGCGCAAGCCUGAUGCAGCGACGCCGCGUGGGGGAUGACGGCCUUCGGGUUGUAAACCUCUUUCGCCAGGGACGAAGCGUAAGUGACGGUACCUGGAGAAGAAGCACCGGCUAACUACGUGCCAGCAGCCGCGGUAAUACGUAGGGUGCGAGCGUUGUCCGGAAUUAUUGGGCGUAAAGAGCUCGUAGGCGGUUUGUUGCGUCGGCCGUGAAAACUGGAGGCUUAACCUUCAGCUUGCGGUCGAUACGGGCAGACUUGAGUUCGGUAGGGGAGACUGGAAUUCCUGGUGUAGCGGUGAAAUGCGCAGAUAUCAGGAGGAACACCGGUGGCGAAGGCGGGUCUCUGGGCCGAUACUGACGCUGAGGAGCGAAAGCGUGGGGAGCGAACAGGAUUAGAUACCCUGGUAGUCCACGCUGUAAACGUUGGGCGCUAGGUGUGGGUGACAUCCACGUUGUCCGUGCCGU
rnacentral:rRNA from 1 species